UACGGAGGGGGCUAGCGUUGUUCGGAAUCAUUGGGCGUAAAGCGCGUGUAGGCGGCCCUGCAAGUCGGAUGUGAAAUCCCACGGCUCAACCGUGGAAGUGCAUUCGAAACUGCAGGGCUAGAGUCCUGGAGAGGAAGGUGGAAUGCUUGGUGUAGAGGUGAAAUUCGUAGAUAUCAAGCGGAACACCGGUGGCGAAGGCGGCCUUCUGGACAGUGACUGACGCUGAGACGCGAAAGCGGUGGGGAGCAAACAGGG
rnacentral:rRNA from 1 species